rnacentral:tRNA from 2 species
GGUAAAUAUAAUUUAAUGGUAAAAUAGUUGUUCGUGGCACAAUAUAUCUGAGUUCGAUUCUCAGUUUUUACC